UUGAGACGUAACAAUAUACCAGACAAUACGAUCAACAGUUUAAAAUCCAAAGAAAUUGGCGGUAUCUUAUGUAAUCAGGGGAACCUGUCUCUUAAUUCGAUAAUCCACGAACACCAAACCUAGUUUUGAAUAUCAGCCUGUGUACUGCUGUCGUCAGUAAACCUCUAAAAGUUAGUUUACAUAAAAUAUAUAAUAAUAAUAUUUACGUCAAGUCAAAGUGCAGCUAAUAACUAGGAGAUGAUGGGUUACAUUCUAAAUAUAGAUACGAAUAAAAAAAUUAAUUUUUUUUUGAAGGUGGACUUGAGAGUAAUGAUUAAAUAAUAUUAUCAUAAAUAAUUUACCUAAGAUGUGCACACAUCGCCCGUCACUCUCUUCACAAGAUG
rnacentral:rRNA from 1 species